GUCUCUUAGUAUCUCCGAAUUCAUCUGAUAGGUGAUAGAAGUCCCAAUGAAUAACUAGGGCAUUGUCCCAUAAGAGGCUUGCUUGAUAGAGAGUUAGAGCACCAUUUCUGAAGUUUUUUGGGCAUUUAAACAAUUUAUCAUUCCAUCAUAUUCUUGACAUCUGUUACACUUGAUUUGCCCACCCUAUGCACCCAUAUUUAAACCAUCUCAAACUCUGAUUUGUGUUGAGGUAUCCUGGAGUUUGCAGAGGGACGCCUUCUCGGGAAGUCAGGCUUACAUUGGCUGAAUAUACAUUUAGAAAAUUUAUAUGCUGGUCGACUGGACAAGUUAUCAUACGAGGGUUGGGUAGCAUUUAUUGAGAAUCAUUUAGAAGAUAUAUUUGAUUCCACAGACAGACCUCUGGAAGGAAGACGUUGGUGGUUGUCUGCUGAGGAUCCUUUCCAAUGCUUGGCUGCAUGUAUUAAUCUCUCAGAAGCAUUAAGAAGCUCCUCUCCAUAGACUACUAUUUCACACAUGCCUGUCCACCAGGUAACUAUAUAGUUCUUCUGCAUUUACACAUGGAAAAUGACAGUCACAUGAUUGUUCAGACCCUUCAGAGUACCCCAUUUGUUGCGGAGCAGAAAUAAUGGAUCUACCACUUCUUUCAUAGCACUACCUUAUGUUUGCGCUAUCCUAUUGAAGUAGGCUUGAGAGGAUAACAGAUAUUUCCCUGACUUUACUUUUGUUUUCAUAUUAAAUGCUUAGAUUCAGGUCAUUUGUUUGUCCAAAACUUAAUCUGAGAUUGUAUUGUUCUAUCUUUUUCAAGGAUGGCUCGUGCAAUGGCUUACAACACUAUGCUGCCCUUGGAAGGGACAAGGUAGUGGAAUUUUCCGCUUUUGGUUGAUCGUUGUGGAGUUCUAAUUAUGUGAUAUGGAAGCAUGGUUUUUGAUUAGUUAGGCAUAGCUUUUCACUCUUUUUCUGCUUUGAGGCUAAAUUUGUCUCAACUUUGAUCUUCUCUCAUUUUGAUAGGAAAAAAAUGAACUUUGUUAAGGAAAGAUAGUACGAGGAUAAGGAACUAGAAAUUGAAACCCAAGAAAGAAACCAAACUUUGUUUGAGUUUGGUGCAGUUUAUUUAAUUUGAUUUUUUUAAGUCA